rnacentral:RNase_P_RNA from 2 species
CCAGUCGGCUGGGCGGCCGCUGUUUUAGCGCAGGCUCCGCUUGAUGCUACGACAGAGGAAAGUCCGGGCUCCAUGGAAACACGGUGGCGGCUAACGGCCGCCGGGGGCAACCCCAGGGAAAGUGCCACAGAAAGUAAACCGCCGAAGCAUGCUCUGGCAUGUGGCAGCAAGGGUGAAAGGGUGUGGUAAGAGCACACCGCGCGCGUUGGCAACAACGCCGGCAUGGUAAACCCCACCGGGAGCAAAACCAAAUAGGGGCGGCCGCGAGUAGGGCAACCUAGCUCGAAGUCCGUUUUCAGAUCUGUCGCCCGGGUUGGUUGCUUGAGGUGUUCGGCAACGGACANCCNAGAUGAAUGGUCGUCGCGGAAACUNUCCCAGAUAGAUUCCAGACANAACCCGGCUUACAGGCCGACUGGUGCU